rnacentral:rRNA from 1 species
GACGAACGCUGGCGGCGUGCUUAACACAUGCAAGUCGAACGGAAAGGCCCUGCUUUUGUGGGGUGCUCGAGUGGCGAACGGGUGAGUAACACGUGAGUAACCUGCCCUUGACUCUGGGAUAACUUCAGGAAACUGGGGCUAAUACCGGAUAGGAGCUCCUGCUGCAUGGUGGGGGUUGGAAAGUUUCGGCGGUUGGGGGUGGACUCGCGGCUUAUCAGCUUGUUGGUGGGGUAGUGGCUUACCAAGGCUUUGACGGGUAGCCGGCCUGAGAGGGUGACCGGCCACAUUGGGACUGAGAUACGGCCCAGACUCCUACGGGAGGCAGCAGUGGGGAAUAUUGCACAAUGGGCGGAAGCCUGAUGCAGCAACGCCGCGUGCGGGAUGACGGCCUUCGGGUUGUAAACCGCUUUCGCCUGUGACGAAGCGUGAGUGACGGUAAUGGGUAAAGAAGCACCGGCUAACUACGUG